rnacentral:misc_RNA from 1 species
GAUGAAGAACGCAGCGAAAUGCGAUACGUAAUGUGAAUUGCAGAAUUCAGUGAAUCAUCGAAUCUUUGAACGCAUAUUGCGCUCUCUGGUAUUCCGGAGAGCAUGCUUGUUUGAGUAUCAGUAAACACCUCAACUCCCUUUUCUUUUUUGAAAUUGGAGCUGGACUUGAGUGAUCCCAACGCUUUCUUCCAAGAAAGUGGCGGGUUGCUUGAAAUGCAGGUGCAGCUGAACUUUUCUCUGAGCUAUAAGCAUAUCUAUUUAGUCUGCCUAAAAAACAGAUUAUUACCUUUGCUGCAGCUAACAUAAAGGAGACUAGUUCUUGUGCUGACUGAUGCAGGAUUCACAGAGACAGCUUCGGCUGACUUUAUAAACUCGAUCUCAAAUCAAGUAAGACUACCCGCUGAACUUAAGCAUAUCAAUAAGCGGAGGA